UACGUAGGGUGCGAGCGUUAAUCGGAAUUACUGGGCGUAAAGUGUGCGCAGGUGGCUUCGCAAGUCGAGUGUGAAAUCCCCGGGCUUAACCUGGGAAUUGCGCUCGAAACUACGGAGCUGGAGUGUGGCAGAGGAAGGUGGAAUUCCACGUGUAGCGGUGAAAUGCGUAGAGAUGUGGAGGAACACCGAUGGCGAAGGCAGCCCCCUGGGCUAACACUGACGCUCAUGCACGAAAGCGUGGGGAGCAAACAGG
rnacentral:rRNA from 1 species